rnacentral:rRNA from 1 species
CGAACGGGUGAGUAACGCGUGAGGAACCUGCCUCAAAGAGGGGGACAACAGUUGGAAACGACUGCUAAUACCGCAUAAGCCCACGGCUCGGCAUCGAGCAGAGGGAAAAGGAGCAAUCCGCUUUGAGAUGGCCCCGCGUCCGAUUAGCUAGUUGGUGAGGUAACGGCCCACCAAGGCGACGAUCGGUAGCCGGACUGAGAGGUUGAACGGCCACAUUGGGACUGAGACACGGCCCAG